CGGAUGAACAAGGAGUUGCUGAUGG
rnacentral:sRNA from 1 species